AGAGAAAGAGAGACAGAGAAACAGAGGGAACAUGUACGCACAUGAUGUUAUAUAAAGGCAAUAAGUGUACCAAGGAAGACCAAGAAAUGAAUUUUGAUGCAGACCUGAAUUACAAGAAAUGUUAAAGGAAGUCCUUCGAGAGGAAGAAAACUGAUACCAGUACAAACCCAGUUCCAUACAAAUGAAUGAAGAAUGCCAGAAAUGGAAAAUAUGUGGGAAAAUAUGAAAAAUGCUUUUCUGAUUUUUAUCCUUUCUUUUAAAAAAAUUACCUUUUAAAAGCAAAUGUAAUAACAGUGUAUAGUGGGGUUUAUAACAGUUUGAAUUAAAAUGUAGGAAAAUAGCACAAAGGUUGGCAUAUGGUAUAUACUUAUA